rnacentral:rRNA from 1 species
AGUCGCCGCGGUAAUACGGAGGGUGCAAGCGUUAAUCGGAAUUACUGGGCGUAAAGCGCACGCAGGCAGUCUGACAAGUCAGAUGUGAAAUCCCCGGGCUUAACCUGGGAACUGCAUUUGAAACUGUCAGGCUGGAGUCUUGUAGAGGGGGGUGGAAUUCCAGGUGUAGCGGUGAAAUGCGUAGAGAUCUGGAGGAAUACCGGUGGCGAAGGCGGCCCCCUGGACAAAGACUGACGCUCAGGUGCGAAAGCGUGGGGAGCAAACAGGAUUAGAUACUCCUGUAGUCCCUGUCUCUUAUACC